rnacentral:rRNA from 1 species
AUUCCCCUAGUAACUGCGAGUGAAGCGGGAAAAGCUCAAAUUUAAAAUCUGGUGGCCUUUGUCCAUCCGAGUUGUAAUUUAGAGAAGCGUCUUCCGCGCUGGACCGUGCACAAGUCUCCUGGAAUGGAGCGUCAUAGAGGGUGAGAAUCCCGUCUUUGGCACGGACGCACCAGGGCUUUUGUGAUGCGCUCUCGAAGAGUCGAGUUGUUUGGGAAUGCAGCUCAAAAUGGGUGGUGAACUCCAUCUAAAGCUAAAUAUUGGCGAGAGACCGAUAGCGAACAAGUACCGUGAGGGAAAGAUGAAAAGCACUUUGGAAAGAGAGUGAAACAGUACGUGAAAUUGUUGAAAGGGAAACGCUUGAAGUCAGUCGCGUCGCCCGAGACUCAACCUUGCCUCGGCUUGGUGUACUUCUCGGCUGACGGGUCAGCAUCAAUUUUGCCCCUUGGAUAAUGGCGAGGGAAAUGUGACACCUUUAUAGGUGUGUUAUAGUCUCUAGUCGCAUGCAAGGGUCGGGAUUGAGGAACUCAGCACGCGCCUUUUGGGGCGUCGGGGCGUUUCGCCCACGAUACGUGCUUAGGAUGUUGGCGUAAUGGCUUUAAACGACCCGUCUUGAAACACGGACCAAGGAGUCUAACAUGCCCGCGAGUGUUCGGGUGGAAAACCCGUGCGCGCAAUGAAAGUGAAAGUUGGGACCUCUGUCGUGGAGGGCACCAACGCCCGGACCAGACCUUCUGUGACGGAUCUGCGGUAGAGCGUGUAUGUUAGGACCCGAAAGAUGGUGAACUAUGCCUGAAUAGGGUGAAGCCAGAGGAAACUCUGGUGGAGGCUCGUAGCGAUUCUGACGUGCAAAUCGAUCGUCAAAUUUGGGUAUA